rnacentral:rRNA from 1 species
GGGGUAGCGGAGCAGAGCACUCUGGUGGAGGCGCGUAGCGAUUCUGACGUGCAAAUCGAUCGUCCGAUUUGGGUAUAGGGGCGAAAGACUAAUCGAACCAUCUAGUAGCUGGUUCCCUCCGAAGUUUCCCUAAGGAUAGCUGGAGCCCGAAGCAUUUUUAUCAGGUAAAGCGAAUGAUUACAGGUAUCGGGGAAGAAACUUCCUCGACCUAUUCUCAAACUUUAAAUAGGUAACAAGUCCGACUUGCUCGAUUUGAAGCCGGACACAGAAUGCUGGGUUACUAGUGGGCCAUUUUUGGUAAGCAGAACUGGCGAUGCGGGAUGAACCGAACGCCGAGUUAAGGUGCCAAAGUCGACUCUCAUCAUAUCCCACAAAAGGUGUUGGUUGAUAUAGACAGCAGGACGGUGGCCAUGGAAGUCGGAAUCCGCUAAGGAGUGUGUAACAACUCACCUGCCGAAUCAACUAGCCCUGAAAAUGGAUGGGGCUUAAGCGUCGCACCUAUACUCGGCCGUCGGGGCAAGAGCGAGGCCCCGACGAGUAGGAGGGCGCGGUGGUGGUGAUGCAGCCUUUGGCGUGAGCCUGGUUCAAACCGCCGCUGGUGCAGAUCUUGGUGGUAGUAGCUGAUAUUCAAAUGAGAGCUUUGAAGACUGAAGUGGGGAAAGGUUCCAUGUGAACAGCAGUUGGACAUGGGUUAGUCGGUCCUAAGAGAUAGGGUAACUCCGUUUGAAAAGCGUGCAGUCCUCACGGUGUGCACCGUCCUGUCUGAAAGGA